GGACAGAGUUCAACUUGAUGUAUGCCUACUCCCCUUUGAACGCUAUGCCUCGAGCAGAUGGACUGUAUCGAGGAUCUCCUCUAGUGGGGGAUAGGAAACCUUUACAUUUGGAUGGGGGAUAUUGUUCCCCUGCAGAAGGAUUUUCCAGCAGAUAUGAACAUGGCUUAAUGAAAGACCUCUCUCGUGGAUCCUUGUCACCUGGUGGUGAAAGGGCCUGUGAAGGAGUCCCAUCUGCCCCCCAGAACCCACCACAGAGGAAAAAAGUAUCCCUGCUGGAGUACCGAAAACGGAAACAAGAAGCUAAGGAAAAUUCUGCUGGUGGGGGAGGUGACUCUGCACAGAGCAAAAGCAAGUCUGCAGGAGCUGGGCAAGGCAGCAGUAACUCCGUUUCUGACACUGGUGCCCAUGGUGUGCAGGGAUCCUCAGCCCGAACUCCAUCUUCCCCUCACAAAAAAUUCUCCCCAUCUCAUUCCUCUAUGUCCCAUUUGGAGGCGGUAAGCCCAUCAGAUUCCAGAGGCACUUCUUCAUCUCACUGCAGACCUCAAGAGAAUAUCAGCAGUAGGUGGAUGGUUCCCACAUCAGUAGAACGACUCCGAGAAGGAGGGAGCAUCCCCAAGGUCCUCCGAAGCAGUGUGAGGGUGGCCCAAAAGGGAGAGCCCUCUCCCACGUGGGAGAGUAACAUCACAGAGAAAGACUCAGGUGAGCCCAUGGCCUUCUACUGCCACCACAUUCAGGGACACAUGAGCCAAGUCCUGUACAGUUCAUGCCUAUUGCUGAGUUGAGGUGAGUCAGUUUCUGAUGCAGUUGGGCUCUGCCGUAUGCUAGGUUCCAGCCCACUUAUGCUCAUUUGGGCUACAACAUUUGUAAGAUCUAGCGUUGCUUGCUC
rnacentral:sRNA from 1 species